CCUACGGGUGGCUGCAGUGGGGAAUAUUGCACAAUGGGGGAAACCCUGAUGCAGCGACGCCGCGUGAGUGAAGAAGUAAUUCGUUAUGUAAAGCUCUAUCAGCAAGGAAGAAAAUGACGGUACCUGACCAAGAAGCCCCGUCUAACUACGUGCCAGCAGCCGCGGUAAUACGGAGGGGGCAAGCGUUAUCCGGAUUUACUGGGUGUAAAGGGAGCGUAGACGGUGAGGCAAGUCUGGAGUGAAAUGCCGGAGCAUAACUCCGGAACUGCUUUGGAAACUGGCUAACUGGAGUGCGGGAGGGGUAGGCGGAAUGCCUGGUGUAGCGGUGAAAUGCGUAGAUAUUAGGAGGAACACCGGUGGCGAAGGCGGCUUACUGGACCGAAACUGACGUUGAGGCUCGAAAGCGUGGGGAGCAAACAGGAUUAGAUACCCCAGUAGUC
rnacentral:rRNA from 1 species